CCGUCACUCGACUGUAACACACACACAUGCUGUCACUACAACGACCGGUCCACUACCGCAACCAGGUGCGGCACGCCGUCACUCGACUGUAACACACACACAUACUGUCACUACAACGACCGUCCACUACCGCAACCAGGUGCGGCACGCCGUCACUCGACUGUAACACACACACAUGCUGUCACUACAACGACCGGUCCACUACCGCAACCAGGUGCGGCACGCCGUCACUCGACUGUAACACACACACAUACUGUCACUACAACGACCGGUCCACUACCGCAACCAGGUGCGGCACGCCGUCACUCGACUGUAACACACACAUGCUGUCACUACAACGACCGGUCCACUACCGCAACCAGGUGCGGCACGCCGUCACUCGACUGUAACACACACAUGCUGUCACUACAACGACCGGUCCACUACCGCAACCAGGUGCGGCACGCCGUCACUCGACUGUAACACACACAUGCUGUCACUACAACGACCGGUCCACUACCGCAACCAGGUGCGGCACGCCGUCACUCGACUGUAACACACACAUGCUGUCACU